rnacentral:rRNA from 1 species
AACGAACGCUAGCGGUGUGGAUUAGGCAUGCAAGUCGUGCGCGAAAGUCUUCGGACGAGUAAAGCGGCGAAAGGGUGAGUAACACGUAACCAACGUACCCCUUAGAUCGGAAUAACCUCUGGAAACGGUGGGUAAUGCCGAAUGGUCCGCCGGCAGGCAUCUGCUGGACGGUAAACGGUGGCUUCGGCUGCUGCUGAGGGAGCGGGUUGCGGCCUAUCAGCUUGUUGGUGGGGUAACGGCCUACCAAGGCGAUGACGGGUAGCGGGUCUGAGAGGAUGAUCCGUCACACUGGGACUGAGACACUGCCCAGACUCCUACGGGAGGCUGCAGUCGAGAAUCUUCCACAAUGGACGAAAGUCUGAUGGAGCGACACCGCGUGCAGGAUGAAGGCCUUAGGGUUGUAAACUGCUGUCACGCUAUAGGAACCCACGGUGGUAAAUAGUCAUCGUGCUGACUAAAGCGAGAGGAAGCGCCGGCUAACUCCG